UUAACAUUGAUUAAACUAAUUGAGUAUUCAUGGCUAGGCUACAUCAUAGCCCUAGCAAGAAGGAAUUAGUUCAUGACAACUUUAAUAAAAACCAUGAUAAACAGUGUCAUAGGAAAGAAAAAACCAAUUGAAGAUUUGAUCUUUGCACAACAGCGACUCUAGCUCCAAGUCGUCUUCUUUUAUCUCUCUAAAACUCUCUUUCGUGUCUUUUGGUCUGUGGUCUCCGAAAAAUAAAAAUAAUAGAACCCCCAACCUUAGGUUAAGGCUUAGUAUGUAUAGGUAAGAAGUAGAGGAAUAAUAGGAAAGCCCAAAAAGAAAAAUCCAAACUGAAGAGGAAAAUACAAGUAGCUGGCGGCAAAGAGAGAGAAAGGAGUAUUUAGCAUUUGGAGAGAAUAAACUCAAUUAGAAAAGGAAAACAGGACUGAGACUUGUGGAGGUAAUCUUCUCCAACUCAAAGGAGGAAACCCAACUUUGGAGAAAAAUUGGUCACGCCAAUUCUUUCAUUUUGUUUGGACUUUAUUGUCCAAUCAGGAGCUCCCCUUUCAAUGUCCCAAAGGCUCCUUGAUCAGGAAAAGCAGAUAGAAGAUGAACUUGUUGAUGGGUUCCGCACUGUGGUGCCAUGGCAAUGCAACGAAUCUGAGGGUUGUCAAGAGGGCUUAUCUUGACUUUGUUGCCCAUGUGCUCUCUGUUCAGUCACUUCAACCUGCUUUUCUCUAUUGCAUUAUAUUGCUUUUCAACAAUCACUACAACUCCAAUUUACAUAUUAGAACUGGAUCUUGAUUCCAAUUACAAAGAAAUAGCCAAAUAGAAGAAUACUUCCUUCAACUCUCAGCCAAUCCAAUGCAGCCCACUGCUCAACCAAAAUUACCAGUUGCAAAUGACAUUAGUUUCCAAAAUUGAAGCUAGCUUGUUAUGCUUCAAUAGCUACUUCCAGUACCUUGCUUUCCAAGCUGCCUCUUCAGCUUCCCUAGCUUCCUCUUCAGCUUCAUCAGCUUUCCUAGAUGCCUCUUCAGCUUCUGCUGUGGCAGCUUCGGCCUCUGCAACUGCUCGAGCCAUAGCCACAGCAGCCUCCUGUUGGGCCAUGUUCCUUCUUAUGAUGAUCAUCUUCUUACGUUGUGGUCUAGAUUAAUAGUCUAACAACAUAAGCAUUUAUUUCAUAGCAUAAUAUAUAUAUAAAUUUGUAUUCUUUCAUGCAAUGUCAUCCUAUGCAUGUUAGGAAAAGGAAAAAAAGCACUAAGAAGAAAAUAAAUUAAUUAUAACAUCUUCCUAAA